GACGAACGCUGGCGGCGUGCUUAACACAUGCAAGUCGAACGUGAUUUUUGUGGAAAUUCUUUCGGGAAUGGAAAUGAAAUGAAAGUUGCGAACGGGUGAGUAACACGUGAGCAACCUACCUUACACAGGGGGAUAGCCGUUGGAAACGACGAUUAAUACCGCAUGAGACCACAGAAUCGCAUGAUAUAGGGGUCAAAGAUUUAUCGGUGUAGGAAGGGCUCGCGUCUGAUUAGCUAGUUGGAAGGGUAAAGGCCUACCAAGGCGACGAUCAGUAGCCGGUAGGGGAGGAUGAACGGCCAGAUUGGAGCUGAGACACGGUCCAAACUCCUACGGGAGGCAGCAGUGGGGAAUAUUGCACAAUGGGGGGAACCCUGAUGCAGCGACGCCGCGUGAGCGAAGAAGGUUUUCGAAUCGUAAAGCUCUGUCCUAUGAGAAGAUAAUGACGGUAUCAUAGGAGGAAGCCCCGGCUAAAUACGUG
rnacentral:rRNA from 1 species